UACGUAGGGUGCAAGCGUUAUCCGGAAUUAUUGGGCGUAAAGAGCUCGUAGGCGGUUUGUCGCGUCUGCUGUGAAAACUGGAGGCUCAACCUCCAGCCUGCAGUGGGUACGAGCAGACUAGAGUGCGGUAGGGGAGAUUGGAAUUCCUGGUGUAGCGGUGGAAUGCGCAGAUAUCAGGAGGAACACCGAUGGCGAAGGCAGAUCUCUGGGCCGUAACUGACGCUGAGGAGCGAAAGCGUGGGGAGCGAACAGG
rnacentral:rRNA from 1 species